GAUGAACGCUGGCGGCGUGCCUAAUACAUGCCAGUCGAACGAAACUUCUUUAUCACCGAGUGCUUGCACUCACCGAUAAAGAGUUGAGUGGCGAACGGGUGAGUAACACGUGGGCAACCUGCCCAAAAGAGGGGGAUAACACUUGGAAACAGGUGCUAAUACCGCAUAACCAUAGUUACCGCAUGGUAACUAUGUAAAAGGUGGCUAUACUACCGCUUUUGGAUGGGCCCGCGGCGCAUUAGCUAGUUGGUAGGGUAAAGGCUUACCAAGGCAAUGAUGCGUAGCCGAAUUGAGAGGUUGAUCGGCCACAUUGGGACUGAGACACGGCCCAAACUCCUACGGGAGGCAGCAGUAGGGAAUCUUCCACAAUGGGCGAAAGCCUGAUGGAGCAACGCCGCGUGGGUGAAGAAGGUCUUCGGAUCGUAAAACCCUGUUGUUAGAGAAGAAAGUGCGUGAGAGUAACUGUUCACGUUUCGACGGUAUCUAACCAGAAAGCCACUGCUAACUACGUG
rnacentral:rRNA from 1 species